GACGAACGCUGGCGGCGUGCCUAAUACAUGCAAGUCGAGCGCAGGAAACUGACGGAACUCUUCGGAGGGAAGGCAGUGGAAUGAGCGGCGGACGGGUGAGUAACACGUAAGGAACCUGCCUCAAGGAUUGGGAUAACUCCGAGAAAUCGGAGCUAAUACCGGAUAGUUCAACGGACCGCAUGGUCCGCUGAUGAAAGGCGCUUCGGCGUCACCUUGAGAUGGCCUUGCGGUGCAUUAGCUAGUUGGUGGGGUAACGGCCCACCAAGGCGACGAUGCAUAGCCGACCUGGGAGGGUGAUCGGCCACACUGGGACUGAGACACGGCCCAGACUCCUACGGGAGGCAGCAGUAGGGAAUCUUCCACAAUGGACGAAAGUCUGAUGGAGCAACGCCGCGUGAGUGAUGAAGGUUUUCGGAUCGUAAAACUCUGUUGUAAGGGAAGAACACGCACGAGAGGAAAUGCUCGUACCUUGACGGUACCUUACGAGAAAGCCACGGCUAACUACGUGCCAGCAGCCGCCGUAA
rnacentral:rRNA from 1 species